AUGAGAGUACUUCUCCUGCAGACUGUGGAAGUGAGAGGACUUCCUCAUAGACCUUGGGUAUGGGAGGAUUGCAUUCAGUCUGGUUCCUGGUUGCUGGCUGAAAAAACCUGGUUGGAGUACAGUGGUACUAUCUCAACUCACUGCAACCUCCUCCUCCUGAGUUCAAAUGAUUCUCCUGCCUCAGCCUCCUGAGUAUCUGGGAUUACAGGCACUGGCCACUGUGCCUGGCUAAUUUUUGUAUUUUUUUUGGUAUUUUUAGUAGAGAUGAGGUUUCACUGUCCCGGCCAGGCUGGUCUCAAACUCCUGAGCUCAAGUGAUCCAGCUUCUUAGGCCUCCCAAAAUCCUGGGAUUACAGGUGUGAGUCACUGCACCUGGGAGGAAGUUUUAUCAUGGUGGAAGUAUCCUUAGUGGAAAGGAUCUCCAAGAGGAAUGAAUGACAAAAAAAUUUAACUCCUUCACUGCCAGACUAAGAGCAUCAUGCCCUGAACAUGGACUUGCAGAAUUCUACAGAAGAGAGGAGACUGGCCUGGGCAAACAGCCCCAGAAGCUGGGGGCCCGAUGGGCUUUCGACCCAGGAUGUGGCUCCAUGCCCUGACUGAUGCCCACAACCACCGUACACCUGCUCUUUUCUGAUUAAGAAACAAAAGACAGCAUACUGUUUGCCCUUGAAUGCUUGAAACACAAAACAGGUGACACCACCUUCCUCCUCAAAAGGAAUUUUUAAACUGUCAGCCCUCUAUCUGCCCAGAGACUUAUUUUGUCUGGCCUUUGCUGUCUUCAGUAGUAGCAGCUGUUUUUCUUUAGCUUUGCUUUCCUGGCUUGUUGCAAGUACCCCCAGCACCUUCCUGGCUCCAGUAGGCAUUAAGUGGGACCAGUGAGAGGGAUGCAGGCCUUCUGGACAGUAACAACUGUUGAAUGAUGGUCUUUGGGUGUGGCUAGUCCAGCAACUCCUUUUAAUCCAGAGACUCAAAGGGCUGGCUUAGGAGGGGGCUAGGUUGUAUUGUCAAUUUAGUGGGGUACCAUGCUCUUCCUUCAUGGUGGUAGAGACAAAAGAAAAGAGAAGGAAUAGGAAAAGAAAAACACACAACACACACAUACACACACACACACACACACACACAGGGGGAGGGAGGGAGAGAGGGGGAGAGAGAGAGAGAGAGAGAGAGAGAGAGAGAGAGAGAGAAAAGCCACUCAUUAGCUCUCCUGAUAAUUCUUCUAAUCAUUAAUGCCAGAAAUCUAUGCAGCAGGUGUAGAUGAUUUUAUCUGUCUGCAAUUGUACUUGUGCUGAAUUUAGCCUUAAGGCACAACAGCCCUAUCUCAUAGGCAGGCUACCUCUGGGUGAAUCUGCUUUAUCUGCUUAUUUAUUUAUUUAGAGAUGGAGUUUUGCUCUUGUUGCCCAGGCUGGAGUGCGAUGGUGCAAUCUCGGCUUACCAUAGCCUCUGCCUCCUGGGUUCAAGCAAUUCUCCUACCUCAGCCUCUGGAGUAGCUGGGAUUGCAGGCAUGUGCCACCAUGCCCAGUUAAUUUUGUAUUUUUAGUAGAGAUGGGGUUUCUUCAUGUUGGUCAAGCUGGUCUCUAACUACUGACCUCAGGUGAUCCGCCGGCCUUGGCAUCCCAAACUGCUGGGAUCACAGGCGUGAGCCACCUGCUUUUAAUUCUUUUAUGUUUGGCUCUUGUUUAUAACUUCUUUUAGAGAAAGAAUAAAGGUUUCUUUAACCAAAAAGAGAAAGAAAACCACUGCUGUAUAUUUAACAUAUAGAGAUUCUAGAGACCUGGAAUUGAACAGUGAGUUCUGCCUGUCAACCUGCUCUCCAGGUGUUCAACAUCC
rnacentral:lncRNA from 1 species